rnacentral:lncRNA from 1 species
UCGAAUACGGUUAUACUAUAAAUAGUCAAUAGUGCGGCACUGUUGAAAUAAAAUACAGUUAUACCAUGUUGAAUUUCUGGUACUCUCGACAGUUGUCAUCAAUACCUCCACAAAUCCAUUAUGAUCUGAUCUGCCGGAGUCGAGUGCACAUCUGGAGUGGUCUCGGUGGUCGACGAGUGAUGUGGCAAGUCGCGGCGACGUCUAAUACACGGAACUUACGCUACAAGUGGAGGAAAAAAGCCGACGUCGACAUCCACUGCUCUACGCCAUCCAUCCCAACUUUAUUAUCUUCAGAGUUCGAACUCCAAAUCAAACCUCAUACCUGUGGCAUAGAAAGAAUAUUACGUAUUUAGAAGAAUCCCAAGUCCCGAUCUCCAUCCACUUGUAAGAAGAUCCGUUUUCUCCGCAAACAUCGAUUUUGAUCUCUGCCGCAUCACCUAUAAUUUCCGUGCCCUUGUCGAUUUUUUUUCUAUAAAUUCGUUUGUCUUGUGUUUUAUUUAUUAUUGUUGUUUUCGGCACGAUUACAAAAUCACAGAUCGAGAAUUUGAUCAGCUUACUUACUUGGAUCUAGAAGUUGAAGAUUCAUUGAUCAAUUGAUUGAUUCAUUCUUUUCGUCCGGUGAGAAUGGUGUCUGGAGGUUGGAUCAAGAGUUUUGCUCUCUGCCGACUGCGAAAAUCAAAACUGAGGGUAAAUUAUAAAAUUACAUUAAAUUACAUAAAUUUUUUUUUUCUCUUCCUACGUUGAUUGACUUAUUGACCUCCCUCCUUCCUCGAAUGUUGGUUUGUUCCGAAACAGAGAGGCAAAAAAUCGAAAAGACACAUCAAAGCAUUUUCCAAUCUGCCCAGCGAGAAUGUUGCGGCAAUUCGUAUCCAAACUGCGUUUCGCG